rfam:Alphaproteobacteria bacterium MedPE-SWcel Alphaproteobacteria-MedPE-SWcel-C23, whole genome shotgun sequence.
CUGUCGCCACAACGGCUUCCUGGCGUGGCGGUUUAACCUGAAUGGAGCA